GAUGAACGCUGGCGGCGUGCCUAAUACAUGCAAGUCGAGCGAACGGACGAGAAGCUUGCUUCUCUGAUGUUAGCGGCGGACGGGUGGGUAACACGUGGAUAACCUACCUAUAAGACUGGGAUAACUUCGGGAAACCGUAGCUAAUACCGGAUAAUAUUUUGAACCGCAUGGUUCAAAAGUGAAAGACGGUCUUGCUGUCACUUAUAGAUGGAUCCGCGCUGCAUUAGCUAGUUGGUAAGGUAACGGCUUACCAAGGCAACGAUGCAUAGCCGACCUGAGAGGGUGAUCGGCCACACUGGAACUGAGACACGGUCCAGACUCCUACGGGAGGCAGCAGUAGGGAAUCUUCCGCAAUGGGCGAAAGCCUGACGGAGCAACGCCGCGUGGGUGAUGAAGGUCUUCGGAUCGUAAAACUCUGUUAUUAGGGAAGAACAUAUGUGUAAGUAACUGUGCACAUCUUGACGGUACCUAAUCAGAAAGCCACGGCUAACUACGUG
rnacentral:rRNA from 1 species